rnacentral:lncRNA from 1 species
ACAAAUUGGUCAAAGGAGGAAUUUUAUCAAAUUAAAAUCAUUCAUUCAUUUUGGGAGAUGAAAUGUACAUUUCAUCAAUCCCCUAAAUCCAAUGAUUUUAACUCAACAAAGUCAAAUCAACCUUGACCAAAUUGGUCAAAGGAGGAAUUUUAUCAAAUUAAAAUCAUUCAUUCAUUUUGGGAGAUGAAAUGUACAUUUCAUCAAUCCCCUAAAUCCAAUGAUUUUAACUCAACAAAGUCAAAUCAACCUUGACCAAGGCCCAACAAUACAAGUCAAACUCAACAAGUCAAUAUCAAAAGCUCAACACAAUUUAUU